rnacentral:rRNA from 1 species
UACGGGGGGGGCUAGCGUUGUUCGGAAUUACUGGGCGUAAAGCGCACGUAGGCGGCUUUGUAAGUUAGAGGUGAAAGCCCGGGGCUCAACUCCGGAAUUGCCUUUAAGACUGCAUCGCUAGGAUUGUGGAGAGGUAAGUGGAAUUCCGAGUGUAGAGGUGAAAUUCGUAGAUAUUCGGAAGAACACCAGUGGCGAAGGCGACUUACUGGACACAUAUUGACGCUGAGGUGCGAAAGCGUGGGGAGCAAACAGG